GAUGAAGAACGCAGCGAAAUGCGAUAAGUAAUGCGAAUUGCAGAAUUCCAGUGAGUCAUCGAAUCUUUGAACGCACAUUGCGCCCUUUGGUAUUCCGAAGGGCAUGCCUGUUCGAGCGUCAUUAUCACCCCUCAAGCCCUCGGCUUGGUGUUGGACGGUUUGGUGGAGGCCCCCUCGGGGGCUCCUGCCCCUCCCAAAGACAAUGACGGCGGCCUCGUUGGACCCCCGGUACACUGAGUUCUUCACGGGACACGUAUCGGACACAUGGGUUUACGGGACACGGUCUGCCUCCCCUCAGGGAGAAUCUUUCUAAGGUUGACCUCGGAUCAGGUAGGGAUACCCGCUGAACUUAAGCACAUCAAUAAGCGGAGGA
rnacentral:misc_RNA from 1 species